CCCGCUGAACUUAAGCAUAUCAAUAAGCGGAGGAAAAGAAACUAACAAGGAUUCCCCUAGUAACUGCGAGUGAAGCGGGAAAAGCUCAAAUUUAAAAUCUGGCGGUCUUUGGCUGUCCGAGUUGUAAUUUAGAGAAGCGUCUUCCGCGCUGGACCGUGCACAAGUCUCCUGGAAUGGAGCGUCAUAGAGGGUGAGAAUCCCGUCUUUGGCACGGAUGCCCGGUGCUUCUGUGAUGCGCUCUCGAAGAGUCGAGUUGUUUGGGAAUGCAGCUCAAAAUGGGUGGUGAACUCCAUCUAAAGCUAAAUAUUGGCGAGAGACCGAUAGCGAACAAGUACCGUGAGGGAAAGAUGAAAAGCACUUUGGAAAGAGAGUGAAACAGUACGUGAAAUUGUUGAAAGGGAAACGCUUGAAGUCAGUCGCGUCGACCGAGACUCAGCCUCGCCUUGGCUUGGUGUACUUCUCGGCUGACGGGUCAGCAUCAAUUUCGAUCCUUGGAUAAUGGCAAGGGAAAGGUAGCACCUUUACAGGUGUGUUAUAGUCCUUUGUCGGAUGCAAGGGUUGGGAUUGAGGAACUCAGCACGCACCUCAUCGGUGUCGGGGCCUUUUGGCCUACGUUACGUGCUUAGGAUGCUGGCAUAAUGGCUUUAAACGACCCGUCUUGAAACACGG
rnacentral:rRNA from 1 species